CAAAAUUAAAAACUAACUUCAUCAAAAACCAAGUCUCUAAGCAAUGGAUGUCUUGGCUCCUCACACGAUGAAGAACGUGGCAUAAUGUGUUAAGUAACCGGAGUUGCAAACAUCAUGACAGGUUAAUCUUUGAAUGCAAAUUGCGCUAAACUCGAUCUCGGUCGAGAAGCAUGGGUGUGACAGUACUACAUCUUUUAUAAUAAUUCUUAUUCUAAGCGAAUAAGUAAAUAAUAUAUAAGACAAACAACACGUAGUCUGCCAUACGCAGGAAGACCCGCUGAACUGAAGCAUCUCAUUAAGCGG
rnacentral:rRNA from 1 species